UCUUGAUGAAUGAAGAGCAGCUUUUGACAAUGAUCAGGACAUCUGACUCCCUCCCACCCUCGCUUUCCCUCUCCUCCUACCCAGCCUGAGCGAGCUGCCAGAGCCGGAGAGGAAAAGCGCCCUGAAACGUGGGCCGUUGUGUAAUCCCUCCCAGGGCCCCUUUGCUAUUUUUGUACCCGGGUCUGCACGUCAUGCUUGGGUAUUUUCUCUGGUGACUGGCUCGCAUCAAUAGAACGCUCCAAAUGUGCGCCGCUACCGCCGCCACUCCGGACUGAUGGGACGUUUACCAUGGCGCUUUUUUUCCUUAUCCCGACGGAGGCGGAAUGGACGGUGCGGGAUGAGGAAUGAGGAUGCGGGACAUGGAAGGAGAGGAGGAGGUUGAAAUCUCAGAUGAGCCGUCACACGUGUACGUAAACAUCACUACUGACACCUAAGAAAUAUUAUCCCCAAGAAACGAACGCAACGUCGGAUUAAUGGAGUCACUAGAAACCGCCACAGGCUCUCCGGAAGGUCAGGACACAGAUGCCGCAGCAAAACGAUGCACACCUGAGAUAAGAAGGAGUCCAUCGGUGGAAAUGGAGGGAAAAGGGUGGCACCAGCACCCGCCGGAGGGCCCGGCCAAAGACACAGGCGGUUCCAAAAAAGCUCCCAACUCAGGGAAGUUACUGGCCAUUGAGGAUUCCAUCUCCCAAACUCCUAAAGACAGCGAAGCGUCGUUUUCACUGCAGGCCGCCAAAGUAGCCGUCAGACAAAGGAAGUCCCCGAGUUCACCUGAGCAACAGAGUUACUAUUCAGGGAUGGAGCUGCAGUCAGAGGCCGGCGGGAAGGUUGAGUUGAAACCACAGAAGCCUGGCAAAUAUGUUUGCGAGUACUGCGGAAGGGCAUGCGCCAAACCCAGUGUACUAAAGAAACACAUCCGGUCCCACACCGGAGAACGGCCAUACCCGUGCGUCCCCUGCGGGUUCUCCUUCAAAACCAAGAGCAAUUUGUACAAACACCGCAAGUCCCACGCUCACUCGGUCAAAGCUGGAACCCCGCCGUUCCCUCACAAUGUCAACGUGGACCAAGGGUCUUUUGAAGGCGACGGGGAUUUGUUCUCUGACGGCGAGCAAAGUACAGACACUGACGACGACACGUUCAGUGACCCGCUGCUGCUGUUGGACUCCCCGGCGGAGACCUCCGAUCACACCGCUGUCAAAGUGCUAAACCUCAUUUCUCACAAAAAGGCAUCGGCGAUGUCAACGUCGACUCAGGACAGCUCAUCCCACCUACCGGAAAUCAAUCCCAUUCCUGUCACCACUGUUGAGGCUAAUCGUGCAAUUCAAUCUUGCACAAUUAAACAACGGCUCGCACUUCGCCUGUCGGAGAAAAGGAGCAGCGACUCGGAACACAAUCUGUCCCUUCCGAGUCAGUCGAGUAAAGGCAGCACGGAUUCCGGCUAUUUUUCCCGAUCUGAAAGUGCCGAGCAUCAGACUAGCCCCCCGAACGCUAACGCCAAAUCCUACCAGGAAAUUAUGUUCGGGAAGUGUUACAAGCCCAGCCCCAAGCAGACCACAGUUGCUUGCUACACAGAUUCCGGUGAGGUAGAACGAUACUCAGAGAAAGGAGUUUCUCGGGUUUUCACCCAGGAAAAAGACACAGUCGAGUCAAUCAGAAUAAAUACAAAGUCCUUCACCAGGGAAGAGAUGAAAGAAGCACAGCUGGACACUGGCUCUGACAUGGGAACCCUCCUCAGGAGCAACUCCAUGCCCACGUCCUCGGCGGUCAGCCUGACCAUGCCCCAGGCCCUCCGGGGCAGCCACUCGUUCGACGAGAGAACAAGCAACGCGGGCAUGAGGAGACUGCGGCGGCAAGCUGCUUUCGAGCUGCCGUCCCACGAGGGCCACGUGGACAGCGACGGCCACGGGAAGGCAAGCGAGAUGUCACCUGCGGGACCGGAAAUGGAUUAUCCGCCGAGUGUGAACCUGCAGAGGCAUGCCAUGGAACUAGCGACCCGGAAGCGCCGGAAGGAAAAACGGGAAGAGGAAGAUCUGCCACCUCAGUAUGAGGUGCAUCACGGACAGUGUGAAGAAAUGUUUGACUCCGGUAAGGAUUACGAGUCGAAGCUAGCCGGACACGGUGCGGUCGGCGUCCUGAAAGGACGUUUGAGUAUGCAGCUGGACAGGAUUGACAUGGACAUCUCAGUCAGCCCUGAAAUGUGUGCUCGAAAAACAUUAGGAAAUGUCAUUUCGGUUAUCCAGCACACAAACUUCAUCAACAGGCCGCAUGCCGACCAGUCCGAGUCCUACAAGAGCCUCAGGCAGAGGGAGGAGAGCUUCUCCUCAUUUCAGCCCAUGGAGGAGUCUUUUGAGAUAGACAGGGGCGAUGGCACACUGAGGCAGUCCUUUCAGUUGGGUGCUAAACUGGUGCGACAGCCCAAUAUACAAGUACCGGAGAUCAGAGUCACCGUGGAGCCCGACAGUCCGGACAAAGCUCCGGACGUGCCGGUGAAGGAGCCGGAGAAGCAUGUGGAAGAGUUUCAAUGGCCGCAGCGGAGUGAAACUUUAGCUCAGUUCCCCCCUGAAAAACUCCCCCCAAAGAAGAAAAGGUUGCGCCUUGCUGACAUUGAGCACUCCUCGGGGGAGUCCAGUUUUGAAUCGGCCUGCACCAGUCUCUCACGAAGCCCCAGUCAGGACAGCAACUUAUCCUACAGCUCCACUUUCUCCUUUGACAGGGAGGAGAGCCUGAAGCCGGUUUCUCCUGCCAGGCAGGAUGAAUUUGGCAAGCCUCUGGAGCUCUUAGCUGUGCCGGGAAGCGGCCACUCGCUCUCUGUUCUCCAUCAGCGUCAGCAACAUGAAAUGAGACGCUCCUCCUCGGAGCAGGCCCCUUGCAACUUGCGCAAGGAGUUCCCAGAGGUACGCAGCGUAUCGUUUGACUAUGGAAGCCUCGAUCCAACAUCCAAAGUUAGACUCGGGGACUUGGCAAAGGAGAGACAGAGGGGGAAUUUGGUGCGCCAGGAGUCACUGAGCAUGGACACUGAGGCCUCACACGUGCAAAUAUUUUGUGGUGGCGCAAGCCCUUCAUCGCUGCCCAUCGCACUCCCCCAGCUCCCGCAUCCCGGUUUGUUAAUCCCCGUAAGACUCCAGACUCACGUGCCGAGCUACGGAAGCCUCACGUACACAUCUGUGUCACAGAUCUUUGACAAUCACUACGAUAAAGUUAGCCCUGCAUUAGCUGCCUCUCAGAAUCGAGCCACCACACACUCAGUCUCCGUGGAAGCCUUGGACCUAUCCUCGGCCAAACUCAAGACUGGCAUCCCCCUUUCCCUCACCUCUCGGACCAUCUCCACCACCAACGCGUCCAGCGGCUGCGCGAGCAAACGCAUGCUCUCGCCCGCCAGCAGCUUAGACCUCUUUAUGGAAGUCAAGCAGCAGAAGCGUGUGAAGGAGGAAAGGAUGUUUGGACAAAUUGUGAAGGAGCUGAGUGCAGUGGAGCUGGGCAAGGGCCACUUGGAGGAUGAUUCACACAGGAGAAAAUUUAUCACGCCUCGACAAGUGACCGAAGAACACAGCGUGGAGUCUGCUAUGGAGAGCAGCUCCUUGGAUACCAGCUCGCCUCCGCAUCUGAAACAAGCAGGCACGGAUAAACGGGCGCAGAUGGAAACGAGGACGUUGGCGCUCUUCAGCCGGGACAUCCUGGUCGCAGAGGCGGAGCGUCGGGGGACGCCGUCUUCCUUUCCAAGUCUUCGCACGGCGACAGGUGUGAGCUGGUGUUAUCUCAGCUACACCAAGCCGAGCUGCUCCCACGACGGCGAAGAAGGCGGCGGUGGUGGAGCUCCGUGUUCCGUCUAUGACACCUGGCAUGUCAGCUCACGCAAUCCCAAUCCGCCGGAGUUAAGCACCAGUGCCGCGCUGGCCUUGCUGCACUCCAAACAGAAGGGAGGCAAGUUGAUCUACUCAAUGGCUGCCAUGUGUCAGCCUGGCAAUGGGAAACUGGUUUCAUCCCUUGUCCUGUGGCGGCAGACGGGCGAACAGCUGCAGAGGAAACCGGAGCCCAAAGAGGCAGACGUCAACCCGGGCAAGAAGGUGAAAGACACCAGCUUCAGACUCAAGGCUGCCAAGGAAGAGUGGAAGGAGAGGGAGGCGUCAAAUACCCAAACAGCUCCGACGCGCAUCAAGAUCUUUGAGGGAGGGUACAAGUCCAAUGAGGACUACGUGUACGUUCGUGGCCGCGGACGAGGAAAAUACAUUUGCGAGGAGUGCGGCAUCCGCUGCAAAAAGCCCAGCAUGCUCAAGAAACAUAUUCGAACCCAUACGGAUGUGAGGCCCUAUAUCUGCAAGGUCUGCAACUUUGCAUUCAAAACGAAAGGAAACCUGACGAAGCACAUGAAGUCGAAAGCGCACAUGAAGAAAUGUCUAGAGCUAGGUGUGUCAGUGACAAUGGAUGACACGGAGAUUCAGGAACAUGUAGACGAGGCGCCGCAAGAAUCCAAGACGGAGGUGGCGAUCACGGCCAAACAUCAGUUCUCCGACGCCGAAUAUUCAGACGGUAUGGACGAAGACGCGGAUGAUGUUGACGAAGAUGAGGACGAGGACGACGACUAUGAGGGCGAGUCCACACCCAAGCUGCGUUCCAGGAGCACCAGUCCGCAGCCGGGCAGCGGCGUCACGUCACUGCCUGUCACUGUCACAGUCUCUGGCAGGUGGCCAGGCUCUGACCAGCGAGACAAGACCAUGGAGGAUGACACGCUGAGUGUCCUGUCUCCAGAUCAAGCCGGCUUCCUCUUCGACCCUUAUUCUUCAUGUCUCCUCUCGCCCGGUUGGGAAUCCCCCAUCAGGGAACCGUCCCCCUCCCGUCUGCGAUACCCAUCCCCGAGACGUGAGCUCUCCCCGCGGGGUCGUUGCUCCCCGCUGAGGCCCAGCUCGCCCGGAUUCUCACCUAUUCAGCACCUCUCUCCUUGUGUCGCGACGGAGAAACCCACGUCGCCCGGGGCAGAGAUGGCUGGGAAGCGGGAGUCGGCGGUGCGGGGCAGGCAGCGGGUCGUGCUGAGGGCCGUUUCGCCACGCAGGGGUGGGGCCCAUCAGCAGCGAGGUGGCAGCGACAAGAGCAGACAGCAUACUAAGAUGGACCUGGCUCAGCAACAAGGAGCCUUUGAGAUGGAGCUGGAGCAAAGGAGCAUCUCCAGUCUUCCCGCCGUCACCGGUGGUCCCCACCAGAAUCUCCUGAGCCACCUUCCUCUCCACUCUCAGCAGCAGGCCUUCAGCUUGCUUCCCGUACUUCCCGUCGGAGGAGCCCUCUGGGCGCCACCACCUUCCCCCGCCUCCUCCGACGUGCCACCGAGCCCACCAAGCGAGGAGGGGGCUGCACACGGGACCGCCGAGAUGGCGGAGGAAGACCAGGGAAGCCUGGAUUCCAGAACCAGGGACGGUGGACAGGAGGAGAACGUCCAAACGUGCUUGAAAGCCAUUGCCUCGCUCAACAUUAACACGGAGGACCCCCAUUAGAGACCUUGGGCCGCCACCUAACUUGUCAGGUCCGCACUUGGGCAAUACGACGACAAAGAUUCUUCACGACGAGGAAUCCCGCUCUUCUCUUCGGACUGCCUCGCUCAUGAUCAAAACAAAGGGACCCUAAGUAGAUAAAGGCCCCCGUCCCGUCCGGGGACUUUGGGUCACCUCCCACCUGUUUGGGUCCCAACAGAGGCAAUAUGACGACACAGCUUCUUGGCUUCCUUGGACUGGACGAGCAACGAUUAUUAACUAUUAUCAUCAUUGGGUGCAGGUGCAAUAUGAAGAGAUCUACUGUAAAAUGCUAAUAUGCCUUUUGUUUGACAUAGCAGUUUGCAUACAAUUGCACAUAAAUUAUAUUUAUAGAUUACUGUAUAAAAAAAAAAAAACGUCCUUUUACGUAUUACACUCCCUCCUCCUUCUUAGACGCAGUGUAUUUUAACGUCCGUGUACUUUGCGAAUAGACUGUUGUCUCAUGUACUCAUAUCGAGGUGUGAUACAGUAGUGCGGUAAAUACUUAUAUUUCAAAUAAUUAAGGGUACGAUAAGAAAGUCCAAAUUUUGACGCUUUUUGCGCAAAGAGGGUCUGUGCCUUUAUUUUGCUCGGGAGGAUGUUUAAAAAGGUCAAGGAAGAGCUUUGCGAGCUUGUUUCAUCUUUAAAAAAAAAAAAAAAAAAAAAAAAAUCUGUUUUCUUUUUCUUAAUGUUGUGGUUUUUAUCUUGCAUGGGAUUUGCUAUUGCACAAAAAUUACAGGAAGUCAACAUGUAAUUACUGUAAGAUGUAUUUAUAUAUUAGGAUGUAAGCACUUAUUGAUACUGGUAAAUAUUUGACUACUAUUUAUAUAUGGUAUAUAUAUAAUAUAUAUACAUAUAUAUAUAUACAUACAUGGUAUAUGUAUAUACUAAAGUGCAUUGUGCCUCUCAUACGUUGAAGAGGACAAAUUGUUUACCUCUCACCCGAGACUUAUUGAGGACAAAAAGCCUCAGUAGCCAAUCCAUCGUUUGACUUGUUUGCGUCAAAUUUGCUCGGUCGGGGAUGGAGUGCCUCUGAUGCUUUUGGGUUAAGGGGCGGGGCUAAUCUAUUAUUAUCAUUUGGUGCUCAGAUUGAAUUGAAUAUUGUUUGAAGAGAAUAUACUUCUAACCCAGGAA